rnacentral:rRNA from 1 species
AGAGUUUGAUCCUGGCUCAGAACGAACGCUGGCAGCGUGGAUUAGGCAUGCAAGUCGAACGGGAAGCCGCAAAUUCAAUCUUCGGAGAGAAUAUGUGGUGGAUAGUGGCGGAAGGGUGAGUAACGCGUGGGCAAUCUGCCCUUAAGUUGGGGAUAACUCCGCGAAAGCGGGGCUAAUACCGAAUGGGGUCCUCUGGCGCAUGUCGGAGUGACUAAAGGUGGGGAUCCUUCGGGACCUGCCGCUUAGGGAGGAGCCCGCGUCCCAUCAGCUUGUUGGUGAGGUAACGGCUCACCAAGGCUUACGGGUAGCUGGUCUGAGAGGAUGGUCAGCCACACUGGGACUGAGACACUGCCCAGACUCCUACGGGAGGCUGCAGUCGAGGAUCAUUCGCAAUGCGCGAAAGCGUGACGAUGCGACGCUGCGUGGAGGAUGAAGGCCUUCGGGUUGUAAACUCCUGUCAUGAGGGAAAAGCCGCCCCAUCUCUAAUACAGGUGGGGCCCGAUGGUACCUCAAGAGGAAGCCACGGCUAACUCUGUGCCAGCAGCCGCGGUAAUACAGAGGUGGCGAGCGUUGUUCGGAUUUACUGGGCGUAAAGGGUGCGUAGGUGGCUUCGUGUGUCGGAUGUGA